rnacentral:rRNA from 1 species
UAGGGAAUAUUGGUCAAUGGACGCAAGUCUGAACCAGCCAUGCCGCGUGCAGGAUGACGGCCCUAUGGGUUGUAAACUGCUUUUGUACAGGAAGAAUAAGCGCUACGUGUAGCGUGAUGACGGUACUGUAAGAAUAAGGAUCGGCUAACUCCGUGCCAGCAGCCGCGGUAAUACGGAGGAUUCUAGCGUUGUCCGGAUUUAUUGGGUUUAAAGGGUGCGUAGGCGGCUUAUUAAGUCAGUGGUGAAAGUUUGCGGCUUAACCGUAAAACUGCCAUUGAAACUGAUAGGCUUGAGUUCGGUUGAGGUAGCUGGAAUGUGUCAUGUAGCGGUGAAAUGCUUAGAUAUGAUACAGAACACCAAUUGCGAAGGCAGGUUACUAAACCGAUACUGACGCUGAGGC